UGCUUCCGCGGUGACUUCCGAUGUCUUCAACAGUAAAGUGUGGAAAACAGCAGGAGCUCCCUCGCAUCAGCUGCCACACUGCGGUCGUAAAGUACACCGGAAGUACAGCGAGUACUUAGUGUCCACAGUCAUCCCUGGCAUUACCUGGCAUGACUCUUGGGGGAGGGGUAAACUUAAUCCUGGAAUGGUAGCGUGUGCCAGGCAUAAGAAACAGAAAGUACAAAGGCACAGAGGCACGUCUGCUAUGCCUGAAGAACAGCCACGAAGCCGGAACACUCGCCGGUGAGAGAGAACCGGGUUUGAUCGCUUGGUUCCAGUCGGUCUGCAAGACGCCGCUGGAUGCCGUGGAAAAGAACAACUUUUAUCUGCAGCAAGAAGGGAUACGUCUGUGUACCACAUAUGUGCCUGGUGCAGACCCUAUCUCAAAAAAAGAAGAAAGGAAGAAAAGAAAAGAAACUAGUGAGAUGGCUCGUCAUCUGGAGUGGAAUGAGUGUGGACAAGAGGGCUCAGUCCCCAGUCCUGACAACCUGAGCUUGAUCUGUGGAACCCACAUCGUAGACAUGAGAAUUGAUUUCUGCAAGUUGUC